CAGUCGCCGCGGGAACACCGAGGGUGCAAGCGUUAAUCGGAAUUACUGGGCGUAAAGCGCGCGUAGGUGGUUUGUUAAGUUGGAUGUGAAAGCCCCGGGCUCAACCUGGGAACUGCAUCCAAAACUGGCAAGCUAGAGUACGGUAGAGGGUGGUGGAAUUUCCUGUGUAGCGGUGAAAUGCGUAGAUAUAGGAAGGAACACCAGUGGCGAAGGCGACCACCUGGACUGAUACUGACACUGAGGUGCGAAAGCGUGGGGAGCAAACAGGAUUAGAUACCCCAGUAGUCCCUGUCUCUUAUAC
rnacentral:rRNA from 1 species